GAGGGAAUAGCUCAGUGGUAGAGCGCACGCCUCGCAUGCACAAGGUCCUGGGUUCGAGCCCCAGCCCCUCCA
rnacentral:tRNA from 1 species